AGUUCAAAUACUGGGCUUGGUGACCUCCUCGUGGGAUCCCGAAUGCCGUGUCCAGUGUGCCUCCCGGCCCCUGAGGACAACAACUAGGAGACAUUCAGGACUGUGGCUGGAACCAGCAGUGACACUGAGGCUCAGAGGUGAGGGGUGGCCUUGUCCAUGGCAUCUCUGGAGUGGGAGGAGCAGCUGGUGUGAAACAGCUGCCCAUGGGAGAGAGCUGGCAGGGACAGGGCAAGUUUUUCUGGAGAGGGCUCCAGUGCUGGGAAUCCUCCCCAGGAGUGGAUGGUGAAGGGGAGCCUCAUGGCAUUCAUUGCCAGUAGGAAAGAGUCUGGUGCAGACAUGGAGAGCGAGCCAGGGUUGUGUUUCUCCCGCUGCUGUUCUUAGGGUGGCUCCUGGUGGCACUCAUCUCAGAGUGCUGACCUUCCUGGGGAAUCCCUGAGUGGCUGAGCUGCGGCUGCUGCACUCCUGAAAGUGUGGUAGCAAUGAAAGUUAUCAUGGUUGCGUCUUUAAUUUUUAUUUUUUUAAAGACUGAAUUCACAUUCUUCUAUUGAGAUUUAAGGAGUGUGGAAAGAGGACAUUAUUUCUUCCCCGCAGAUGAGAAGUGCAGUGUGUGCCUCCACCCCAACUUCUACAAAAUUCUGUUUUACAAAGCAGAAAAAGAACAUCGAGUUCAUGUUGGAGCUGUAGCUCAGUUUUCUAAGACCAGAUUUUGCCUCGUGUUCCCUGUUCAAAUGACUAGCUGUGCUGGGCACUUAGAAAUUUUCUCCCUCUUCCUCAUCUCCACCUUGACAUUAUGAAAAGGGUUUUCAUCAAUCCAUUGAAAGAAGGAGAUAACUUUUGUAUAAAAGUGCGCGGUUGACAGGGUUGAGUUUUUUGGGUAGUAUGUAAUUUUUUUUUUUACACUGUUAUUAUUUAAAAUAUGCUUUCUAAGAGGACAAAAGGGAAAAGCUUAAUGGAAACAAAUUUCUGUAGCAAAAUGUGCAGCUGGAUAAAAAAAGAUUAUUUCUGUUAUUGCUUGGUUAGACAGGUGAAUUUCGAAUUUGAGUACAAAAGGUGCUAAAAAGUGUGCUUAAACUUCUCUUCAGUGUGCUGUUGAGAUUGAAAAGAAUAAUUUUUGGAGAAAAACUUUUCUCUGAGCCUCUAUUUCCAGCAUUGUCAAAUCUUUAGCGGCGGC
rnacentral:lncRNA from 1 species